GACGAACGCUGGCGGCGUGCUUAACACAUGCAAGUCGAACGGAAAGGCCCUGCUUUUGUGGGGUGCCCGAGUGGCGAACGGGUGAGUAACACGUGAGUAACCUGCCCUUGAUUUUGGGAUAACUUCAGGAAACUGGGGCUAAUACCGGAUAGGAGCUCCUGCUGCAUGGUGGGGGUUGGAAAGUUUCGGCGGUUGGGGAUGGACUCGCGGCUUAUCAGCUUGUUGGUGGGGUAGUGGCUUACCAAGGCUUUGACGGGUAGCCGGCCUGAGAGGGUGACCGGCCACAUUGGGACUGAGAUACGGCCCAGACUCCUACGGGAGGCAGCAGUGGGGAAUAUUGCACAAUGGGCGGAAGCCUGAUGCAGCAACGCCGCGUGCGGGAUGACGGCCUUCGGGUUGUAAACCGCUUUCGCCUGUGACGAAGCGUGAGUGACGGUAAUGGGUAAAGAAGCACCGGCUAACUACGUG
rnacentral:rRNA from 1 species